GUCAGGAUGGCCAAGUAGUCUAAGGCGCUGUGUUCAGAUCACAGUCUCUCCUAGAGGCGUGGGUUCGAAUCCCACUCCUGACA